CAGCAGCCGCGGUAAUACGUAGGGUGCGAGCGUUAAUCGGAAUUACUGGGCGUAAAGCGUGCGCAGGCGGUUAUGUAAGACAGAGGUGAAAUCCCCGGGCUCAACCUGGGAACUGCCUUUGUGACUCAUAGCUGGAGUGCGGCAGAGGGGGAUGGAAUUCCGCGUGUAGCAGUGAAAUGCGUAGAUAUGCGGAGGAACACCGAUGGCGAAGGCAAUCCCCUGGGCCUGCACUGACGCUCAUGCACGAAAGCGUGGGGAGCAAACAGGAUUAGAUACCCUGGUAGUCCACGCCCUAAACGAUGUCAACUGGUUGUUGGGUCUUCACUUACUCAGUAACG
rnacentral:rRNA from 1 species